rnacentral:misc_RNA from 1 species
UGCUCUGCACCACUCAAAGGUGGGAAAUGUUGGUAUGAAGAAGUGUGAAUCAAAAGGUACCUAUAGUGAUCGUGGACAAUAUUUUUUUAGUAAAAAGCAGCUGUCUGUCUUGUCUUCAGUGUUAUCGCGGAGAUAUUGAAAGACGGCGGUUUCGCACUGUAUACCCGCGCGUUCCAGUGAUCGUGGCUCAAUUAGAUCUCCGCGUAUCAGCUCAAACUUCGCAAGUGAAGUGAGAAAGGUGCUUGUUUUCGUGGAGUGAUUGCAGUGAAGAUCGGCAUGUUCCAAACCCGUGUGCAUCGCGGUUAGAUCGAUGUAUCUGCGAGCAUAUCGACUGGUCUAGCUGGAUAGAUCUCAUCAGGAGUACACUGCAAGCAACUUGACUGACUCUAUGAAAAGUCGGUUUUUCAAAUCCAGAAAAACGUGAUUCGAGCGUUGAUCUUCACUUCACUUACCAUUUAGAUGGAAAGGAAAACAUGUGUGUGUAUAUUGCAGUUACUGUGCUACGACUCAUGUGAAGCUUCUUUCCAAGCUACUUUUCCCUAAUACUGGCUAAUGUGAAGACUCCAUGAUCGAAAACAGAGCUACGACGGUAGACGGUAAAAUCGGGUAAAUCAAGUUCUUCUCCAUUGGUUAGACUGUCUUACUCGAAGACGAUCCUCUUGUAUGCACUCGCAUGCAGGCAAGUACAAAUGAUCGAGACAGUACGUGACACAGUUGAACCAAAAAGCAUGUCUGCUUGCUGUAGUUGCAGCGAACAUAACUAGGUGCACUCAUGAAGAUCUACUGCUGGCAUCGUUGCGGACAUGCAUACACUGUAUUGAAGAUCGCGACAUGAUUGUGCCAAAUAUGCGACAAGUUAAUCACGAUCGUUAGAUAGUCCAUUUACGUAUGCAAAUCAGACCAAGUACUUUCUUUGCAGCCAAUCGGUACCUCUAGCGGUUGACGCCUCUGACAAUUAAACGGGCAAUAGUGCUAUGCAUCAGACUUUCUGAAGGAGGGAAGUAAAAUUACAAAAGUCCCGUCUCAAUGAUAGUGUAAUAAAUUUACCUAAUGUUUAAUUAAUUUAGUGUAAAAGUCAGUGUUAUCUCACGCAAAAUGGAAAUAACCUUAAACUCCACGCUACCAGCGAGAAUGGUCUCGACUACUCCACUGAAUGGCUGUAAUGAAGAUCAUCAAGUUGCCUGUGUGCCUACUAUUCUACUGCAUGACUCGUCGAAGAAAGGUAAUAAGAAAAGUGAAGAAACGGUUCAUAUCCCCACUAAAAUGGUGUUAGCAAACGCAGUAGUAUCUGAUUCGGAGCAACAACAACACUAUCAGCCGCAGCAGCAGCAACCAGUGAUCUUCACAACCAGUGGAGGAAAAUCAUGUUCAUCACGGAUACACGUCAAUCGUACAGAGUGCACAAGUGCAGUGACCGAAUCAGUCUCUUCUUCGGAGAAAGACUUUCACGUUGUUAAGAUACAAAUUUCGCCAAAUUUCAAAAAUACUAGUAGCAAUAGUAACAGCAGUAACGCCAGUAGCAUCGGGAUCAACAAUAAUACAAUCGAAAUUCAGAGCCUAAAUAUCUCAAACGCGAGUGGUGACCAUCAAGAUUUCAGUGAAAUAACAGAGCAAAAAGAUAAGCUUGAAAAUACUCAAGUUUUAAGCAAUGAUGAACGAUCUUCGACGGUUGUGAUUGGAGGUGAUCUUUACACGAAUCCAGCGAGUGUAAAAGAUUCGAAUUCGUUUGAAAAAAGUGAUCUUACCAGUGACCUUUCGAUAGUGCAGCAACCACUGAAAUCCCCAAAAGUGUCGAUUGUAUCGUUUAUUUCGGAUGACCAACAAAACAAAUAUUUGAAUGAGGAUCGUGUUGACGAAGAUCAGUGCAAAUUAUCUGUAAAAAGUGUUAGUCAUAAGAGGAAUAUUUCACAAACAUUUUUGAACAAAAGUAAUGACGAAAUAUCGCUGCUGAAACAAGACCCUGAGUUAUCGCCGAAGUCAACCACUCUGUUAACCCUGCCUUCAAAUCCGCUUGCUGUGGACCAGGAUAUCCGAGAAAAUCUUACUGGAAUAACCACAAAAAUAUCAUCUGAAAAAGAGGAUUCACCGGUACUUUCGACGUCGUUCUCCGAUUUAUCUGUUCUUGAGGAAGAUAUUAAGCAAGAUAAAAAAGAAGCUACAUUGCUAACCUCAUCCAGAUCAACAGAACAAUCACCUUCGGCAGUUGCACCCGAAGAAGAAGAAACUUCCAUUGAAGUACUAAACACUCACGUAAUUGUGGAUACAUCAGGUAUACAAACAGCGACCAUUACAUCGAAUGAAAUGGUACAAAAACCUAGCGGUGAUCUUGAAGUCAGUAACCCGACCUAUUUGUACUACAUGAUGACUAGUGGACAAUGUUCGCCAAGUGACACCUUGGAUAGUGGAACAUGUAGCGAUAUGGAAAAUGGUGGUAGCAAUAGUAACAGUACAUCUGAAUCGGUUACGCCACCACCGCUUCCUAAGAAAAUGGGUCCCAAGUUAAAGAUGCUGCACCUGAAGACAGGAUCCAUUAUUUCUGAGGACCAUUCUUCCGAUGAGCAAGGGGACCAAGCGGAUCAGAAGUCAAACGGCCAUACGAGGACGGGAAGUUUCACUGAUAGUGAAGAAUCCGAGUGUAGUCUGAGCUGCGAUUCCUUGAACUCCUCUGAGUUUGCAAGGUCCAUAUCUAUUCCAUCUCCACCCCAUCCACCUAUGAUACCCACCCAAGAUGCGAUCGUUGCAGCGAUCUCACUAUUGCCUGACUGCUUGCUACGUGACAUUCGAGACCGUAAAUUCACCUCUAAAUUGGAGACUACUCCUGAAAUACUCUCGGAUGACUUCUCAAAGGGACUGAAGAUCGAUGAAGAUCAGAUCCGUGAAAGGAACACCACAUGCGUUUUAAUAACGCAAGAUACAACGGACAAUAUCGCUGCUCCGACAUGCAAAUUCGAAACGGAUAAGUUUUACAAGUUUCAUAUAAACGAAAUGGAUGUAACGGACGAUCUUGUUGAGAACAAGCCGAAGAUCUUCAAGGAUGACGAAACCUUCGCUGGAUACAAGGAUAUACACAGUGGAACCUCGACAAUCCGCAGCUCCAAGGGCACCGUCCGGGGAGUCAAGAAUCGUGUACGAAAUGGGAUAGCAACAUUUUUGCAAAUGCAGCAGACGAAUGUCAAGAAUUACAAAGAAAAAGAUUCAGGCAAAGUUGUUUUGUAUACCACGAGCAUGGGUAUCAUACGUGAGACGUAUGCAAAAUGCGCGAACGUAAAACAAAUCUUGCGAACAUUGCUGAUCAAAUUUGAGGAACGUGAUGUGUUUAUGAGCUGCGAAUACCAACAGGAGAUAAAAGAUCGCAUGCAAACGGAUGAAAUUCAAGUUCCGCAAUUAUUUGUUGAAGGACAACAUAUUGGUGAUGCUGCGACUGUUGAACGGUUGAAUGAAAGUGGCGAAUUGCGACAAAUGCUGAAACCAUACAAGUCCAUGUCAUCAUCAUACACUUGCCAAUUCUGCGGAGGCUAUCGGCUGCUCCCGUGUCCAUCUUGUAACGGCUCCAAGAAAUCGGUACAUCGAAAUCACUUCACCACUGAGUUCGUCGCAUUGAAAUGCAUGAACUGCGACGAAGUGGGCCUGGUUAAGUGUCACAACUGCUGAAGUCUCCGUGCAACGCCGCUAUUUAUUAUUAUAAUAGAUGCACAAAACUACUAUUGAAAUCUCAUCCAACUUUCCUAGAUCUAAGAUAUGGCUGCAAGGUGACUGGAAUCCAGUGAAUCCAUCAAACAUGUCCAUCCACAUGCAGUGCAGCCUUUUCUGUCCAGUAUACGGAAAACAUGAACUUUAUUUACCAAACUGUUAUCUUUAAGCAAGCAUUUGACGAGUUUCAAAUCAAUAAGAAGCAAACUGAAUCCAAGGCAUGAAUAUCGUAAAACAAAUAAUAGCAGACAAAUUAAGACUUACUCGAACAUCCAUACUCAAACAUACAAAACUAUCUUUGGAAAGUUCGAUCUUCUAUUAAGGGUAAACCGGUUGUGAUAAUUUCAAAUGGACAUUCCAGAUACUUAACGUACUUACUCCGAUGCUGCUAUUUUCUAGGUGUCUCCUCGGAACCGUCUAAAAUUUAUUGAUCAUCCAAGUUUAUUUUUAUAAAUAAAUUACUAUUUGACGAUGAAUCCGUCCAAUUGGCGAGGAGGCGAGUCUAGAAGAAGAAAGUUUUAUCCAUGCUUCUAUAUUUGUUUUUCCAUAAUUGAAAUGCAAUGCGUUCAUACUUAAUUUUCUAAGCAAAGCUGGUGAAUUGCACAUGGAGGUAUCCGACGAGGGAAUUUGAUUUACAGUCAAUUUGUCAUGGAAUAAAAUUAAAAUUUUAAAUACGAUUUUGCAUAAAGUGGAAGAGAUACAGAUGUCAUUUUGAAGUUGUAAAGCUUUUAUCACUUAAGUAGAAUAAUAAAUAUAUUUUAUUUAAUGAA